UACGUAGGGUGCGAGCGUUUGUCCGGAAUUAUUGGGCGUAAAGAGCUCGUAGGCGGUCUGUCGCGUCUGCUGUGAAAUCCCGAGGCUCAACCUCGGGCUUGCAGUGGGUACGGGCAGGCUAGAGUGCGGUAGGGGAGAAUGGAACUCCUGGUGUAGCGGUGGAAUGCGCAGAUAUCAGGAAGAACACCGAUGGCGAAGGCAGUUCUCUGGGCCGUAACUGACGCUGAGGAGCGAAAAGCGUGGGGAGCGAACAGG
rnacentral:rRNA from 1 species